AACGAACGCUGGCGGCAGGCCUAACACAUGCAAGUCGAGCGAGGUAGCAAUACCUAGCGGCGGACGGGUGAGUAACGCGUGGGAACGUACCCUUUGCUACGGAAUAGCCUCGGGAAACUGGGAGUAAUACCGUAUGUGCCCUUCGGGGAAAGGAUUUAUCGGCAAAGGAUCGGCCCGCGUUGGAUUAGGUAGUUGGUGGGGUAAGUGGCCUACCAAGCCUACGAUCCAUAGCUGGUUUGAGAGGAUGAUCAGCCACACUGGGACUGAGACACGGCCCAGACUCCUACGGGAGGCAGCAGUGGGGAAUCUUAGACAAUGGGCGGCAAGCCUGAUCUAGCCAUGCCGCGUGAGUGACG
rnacentral:rRNA from 1 species